rnacentral:rRNA from 1 species
CCCUUAGAGUUUGAUCCUGGCUCAGGACAAACGCUGGCGGCGUGCGUAAAACAUGCAAGUCGCACGGAAGCUUCGGCUUCAGUGGCAGACGGCUGAGUAACGCGUAGGGAUCUGCCUCUCGGUGGGGAAUAACGGCCCGAAAGGGUCGCUAAUACCGCAUACGACCGCCCUUUUAGGGUGAGGAAAGCCGUAAGGCGCCGAGAGAGGAACCUGCGUCCGAUUAGCUAGUUGGUGGGGUAACGGCCUACCAAGGCGACGAUCGGUAGCUGGUCUGAGAGGAUGACCAGCCAGACUGGGACUGGGACACGGCCCAGACUCCUACGGGAGGCAGCAGUUAGGAAUUUUGGGCAAUGGCCGCAAGGCUGACCCAGCAACGCCGCGUGGGGGACGAAGGCCUUCGGGUUGUAAACCCCUUUUCCCAGGGACGAUGAUGACGGUACCUGGGGAAUAAGCCCCGGCUAACUACGUGCCAGCAGCCGCGGUAAUACGUAGGGGGCGAGCGUUGUCCGGAUUCAUUGGGCGUAAAGCGCGCGUAGGCGGCUCCGCAAGUCGGCCGUGAAAUCUCCGGGCUCAACUCGGAGGGGUCGGGCGAGACUGCGGGGCUCGAGGUGGGCAGAGGGCAGUGGAAUUCCGGGUGUAGUGGUGGAAUGCGUAGAGAUCCGGAGGAACACCAGUGGCG